UGCAAGGUGCUGCAUGGUUGUCGUCAGCUCGUGCCGUGAGGUGUCGGGUUAAGUCCCAUAACGAGCGCAACCCUUAUCGUUAGUUGCCAGCUGGUAAAGCAGGGGACUCUAGCGAAACUGCCACCGUAAGGUGAGAGGAAGGUGGGAUGACGUCAAAUCAGCACGGCCCUUAUGUCCAGGGCUACACACGUGUUACAAUGGCCGGCACAGAGGGCAGCUACCUGGUGACAGGAUGCUAAUCUCGAAAACCGGUCUCAGUUCGGAUCGAAGUCUGCAACUCGACUUCGUGAAGCUGGAUUCGCUAGUAAUCGCGCAUCAGCCAUGGCGCGGUGAAUACGUUCCCGGGCCUU
rnacentral:rRNA from 1 species